rnacentral:rRNA from 1 species
GUCGAACGGUAACAGGAAGCAGCUUGCUGUUUCGCUGACGAGUGGCGGACGGGUGAGUAAUGUCUGGGAAACUGCCUGAUGGAGGGGGAUAACUACUGGAAACGGUAGCUAAUACCGCAUAACGUCGCAAGACCAAAGAGGGGGACCUUCGGGCCUCUUGCCAUCGGAUGUGCCCAGAUGGGAUUAGCUAGUAGGUGGGGUAACGGCUCACCUAGGCGACGAUCCCUAGCUGGUCUGAGAGGAUGACCAGCCACACUGGAACUGAGACACGGUCCAGACUCCUACGGGAGGCAGCAGUGGGGAAUAUUGCGCAAUGGGCGCAAGCCUGAUGCAGCCAUGCCGCGUGUAUGAAGAAGGCCUUCGGGUUGUAAAGUACUUUCAGCGGGGAGGAAGGGAGUAAAGUUAAUACCUUUACUCAUUGACGUUACCCGCAGAAGAAGCACCGGCUAACUCCGUGCCAGCAGCCGCGGUAAUACGGAGGGUGCAAGCGUUAAUCGGAAUUACUGGGCGUAAAGCGCACGCAGGCGGUUUGUUAAGUCAGAUGUGAAAUCCCCGGGCUCAACCUGGGAACUGCAUCUGAUACUGGCAAGCUUGAGUCUCGUAGAGGGGGGGAGAAUUCCAGGUGUAGCGGUGAAAUGCGUAGAGAUCUGGAGGAAUACCGGUGGCGAAGGCGGCCCCCUGGACGAAGAC